CCCCUCACAGGAUUGUACCUGGAGAGUUUCCAGUACUCUACCAGUCUCGACUAGGGGAGGGAGAGUCAAGCAGAGGCAUUUCCACUCCUAGCUUGGGCAGUGGCUAGUGAGUGGAAGGCAAUCUCCUACAAGU